rnacentral:rRNA from 1 species
CCUACGGGUGACAGCAGUGAGGAAUAUUGGUCAAUGGGCGAGAGCCUGAACCAGCAACGCCGCGUGAAGGAAGAAGGCUCUCGGGUUGUAAACCUCUUUUGACAGGGAAGAGCAGAAGACGGUACCUGUCGAAUAAGCCACGGCUAACCACGUGCCAGCAGCUGCGGUAAUACGUAGGUGGCAGGCGUGUUCCGGAUUUACUGGGUGUAAAGGGCGUGUAGCCGGGCUGACAAGUCAGAUGUGAAAUCCGGGGGCUCAACCCCCGAACUGCAUUUGAAACUGUUGGUCUUGAGUAUCGGGGAGGCAGGCGGAAUGUCUAGUGUAGCGGUGAAAUGCUUAGAUAUUAGGCAGAACACCAGUGGCGAAGGCAGCCUGCUGGACGACAACUGACGGUGAGGCGCGAAAGCGUGGGGAGCAAACAGGAUUAGAUACCCGAGUAGUC